GGACCCGCACAAGUAGUGGAGCAUGUGGUUUAAUUCGAAGAUACGCGCAGAACCUUACCAACACUUGACAUGUUCGUCGCGACUUUAAGAGAUUAAAGUUUUCGGUUCGGCCGGACGAAACACAGGUGCUGCAUGGCUGUCGUCAGCUCGUGUCGUGAGAUGUUGGUUAAGUCCCGCAACGAGCGCAACCCUCACUUUUAGUUGCCAUCAUUUAGUUGGGCACUCUGAAAGAACUGCCAGUGAUAAGCUGGAGGAAGGUGGGGAUGACGUCAAGUCCUCAUGGCCCUUACGUGUUGGGCUACACACGUGCUACAAUGAUAUUUACAACAGGAAGCAAAACGGCGACGUUAAGCAAA
rnacentral:rRNA from 1 species